GUUGCUGUGGCCGAGUUGUUAAGGCGAUGGACUAGAAAUCCAUUGGGUUGUCCCUGCACAAGUUCGAAUCCUGUCAGCAACG